CCCUAGCCCUGAUAGGAACGGUUACCCCGCAGUUGACGUUGGAAAGUUUGAGAGUGGGAGGGCUUUAGAAUUGGGGAGGAUUGGAAGGAUGGAACGAGGAGUAAAAGUGGAUAGCAGGAUAAGCU
rnacentral:misc_RNA from 1 species